CGGAAAUUAUUGAUUGCCAGUCAGCCUUUAUAAAAUUUGAAUCCGCAGCUGUCAGCCCCGAGGAUCCUAAUCGGGAAUGAGUUUGGCGCCAUUGGUUUUCCAGUUGGGUGACAUGGAAAGCUGAGUGCAGAAGCAGUAAACCGCGCUGUAUAAAUGUGGCGUCUUGGAGUCAGUCAGUGAGAACAGACUGUAAUCCGGGUCACAGAGUGAACAAGGCAACUCACACCGGCUGAACAACCAUGAAGUGGGGCAUCGUCGUCUUAGUCAGCUGCAUUUUGUUGCUCUCUCUACCAUGUUACGCAGAAGAAAAAGUCAACUGUUCAGACCCCAAAAAAAUAGGGUCGUGCAAAAACUAUUUCCCUUACUAUUACUACAAUACGAAAACUCAGAAAUGCGAGAAGUUUAUGUAUAGUGGCUGCGGUGGCAAUGGGAACAGGUUUAUGCAGAAAAAUGACUGCAUUAUACGAUGUGAAAGAAGUUCAAAAGCGAAAUAAAGGGGCAUUUCUGCUAUAUAAAUGGCACCGUUGGGACAGAGAAACCUGUAUCAUUUGUGGCCAGAGCUAAGGAAUGUAGAUUUGAGCAUCAAAGAGAAAACUUCAAAAUAUCUAUACUAUUGUGUUAAAUAAUUUUACUCUUGAAAUUCUGCAUGUUAAUCCAGACAUACCUUUAAUUAGAUGCACUUAAUAAAGAAAUGUGGAGCUGAAAUUUUUGUCACUUUAGAAUAACCUUAAUCAGAUGAUUAUUGCUAAACUCUAUCAUUCCAUUUUUCAGCACUUGCAGUUCUAUUUACAAAUGGUGUAUUCCUAAAAUUGUAAUCAAAUAAAGAAUUCCAUGCAGACA